GACGAACGCUGGCGGCGUGCUUAACACAUGCAAGUCGAACGGAAAGGCCCUGCUUUUGUGGGGUGCUCGAGUGGCGAACGGGUGAGUAACACGUGAGUAACCUGCCCUUGACUUUGGGAUAACUUCAGGAAACUGGGGCUAAUACCGGAUAGGAGCUCCUGCUGCAUGGUGGGGGUUGGAAAGUUUCGGCGGUUGGGGAUGGACUCGCGGCUUAUCAGCUUGUUGGUGGGGUAGUGGCUUACCAAGGCUUUGACGGGUAGCCGGCCUGAGAGGGUGACCGGCCACAUUGGGACUGCGGUACGGCCCAGACUCCUACGGGGGGCAGCAGUGGGGAAUAUUGCACAGUGGGCGGAAGCCUGAUGCAGCAACGCCGCGUGCGGGAUGACGGCCUUCGGGUUGUAAACCGCUUUCGCCUGUGACGAAGCGUGAGUGACGGUAAUGGGUAAAGAAGCACCGGCUAACUACGUG
rnacentral:rRNA from 1 species